GCUUAGAUGGUAAAGCAUCUGCCUACAAUGCGGGAGACCCAGGUUCAAUCCCUGG
rnacentral:tRNA from 1 species